GCAAAUCAGAAGAGUCACGUUUUAAAGACUUGAUCUGAUGCUUUCAGCUGCAGAUGGAGAAAAACUCCCAUCAGAUCACAUGAUCAUCAUGUUCUCUGUUGCUCUGCUGCUGAUGGCUGCUGGAUGCUAUGUGAGCAGUGAAACUCUGACUCAGCCAGCCUCUGAGGCUCUGCAGCCAAGUCAACGUCUGACCAUCAGAUGUCAGGUCUCUUAUUCUUUCUAUAACUACUAUGGAGCUUGGAUCAGACAUCCUGCAGGCAAAGGAGUGGAGUGGAUUGGGAUGAAAUCAAAUUGGUUCACAUUCUACCAAGAUUCACUGAAGAACAAGUUUAGUAUUGAUGUAGACGCUUCCAGUAGCACAGUGACUCUGAAUGGACAGCAUAUGCAGCCUGAAGACUCUGCUGUUUAUUACUGUGCAAGAUUCGACAACUACAGUGACACAAACGAGCAGCAAAGCUGUACAAAAAUGAAACAAAAUGUAGACAAAGGUUACGUUUUCUUAUAUUAA